GAGAGAGAGAGAGAGAAAGAGCGCUUAAGUGAGUUGGAGGCCAACUCUGGCCACUACACUGUCGGAUGGAGGUGGAGGAAGCCGGUGAACCUUCCUGGACGAUAAGGACCCCAGUUCCCUGCCAAGCACGCCGAAAUCCAUGGAGCUUUCCGGUAAGAUCAGGAGGAGAGAGAAAAUGUUGGGUAGCGAGCAUUCUGGCCAUUUUCUCGGCUAUCUGACUGUCGGAUCGGAAAUUCGAGACCACCAAUGGACUCAGGACGGUGAAAUCUUUGAGAUAAGACUGGUCCCACACCGAUUAGACACUGUUCGAAAAAGACGAUCAUUGAACGGUCCAUAUUGCUUGGUGUGAUCGGAUCGAUAAUAGCUCAUCGACGCCCGGGACUGAAUUUUCGGCAGACCUGGCUACCUGAUGGCUCAUCCUGAAAUCUAGUCAAUAUUACAGUUGAUUCUAGCAUUUUCAGACACUAUGGACACGUUCCAGGUGUUAGAUUUGACAUAGGUAAUCAGGGUCAACCAGCUUCCUUCACCCAAUCUCUACAGUCGUCUCUGGUGUACUGCUACAGGAGGAGUUC
rnacentral:misc_RNA from 1 species